ACUGAUUUCUGACUAACAAUACAUUUGCAAAGAACACAAUAUUUUAUUAUUUGUUUCUUAUUUAAAAUUUUCUUUCGUUUCGUUUAGUUCAAUGGUUACAAAUUGUAUUUACGCUGAAUGUAUUGGAACGCGUUCCGAUGACGCGCAGUGUGAAAUCCUUUUGGUGUAAACAAACAUUGUGAUUUCUGUUCCGUAAGUCUUGAAUGUAAACAUAUUGUCUCACAACAUGUCGAUAAGUAAUCAUUGUUACAUUUUGGUAAUAGAAAAACGUGCUUAAAGAGAAUUUUGUUGCCCUUUUUAUUUACGAUCGAAAAUGUGUAAGUUCAUUUUAUUUUCAAUCAAAAUCAAUUAGUAAAUAAACCAAUAAAUUUCAUCAUACAUCGGUAAUAUCGGUAUUAUUCGUAGGUAUCGUAUUUUACGAGCAUAAAAUAACAUAUCGUAAUUACUGAUAAAUAACAUGCUAAAAUCAUUUCACACAUGGCCCGAUUUCAUUUGUAUGUAGGUAUCUCUUGCUAAUUAAAUUUAAAAAAUGUAAUUCAUAUUAUUUUAUAACUGAUUAUAAUAAUUAAUUAGAUUGGUUCUCAAUCGACUAUUUUUUUUUAGAUUCGUCUUUUCAUUAUUUGAUUAAAUUGUAAAAAAAUAAGGUGAUUAGAAUUCUUUUUUUGAGAAUUAUUAUAGUCUCGCUCGUUUCAUUUGCCAUUUUGUAUAUAAAUUCAAUAUACUUGCAUCAUUUAGUUUUAUACUUAGUUCAGUAUACUUAAAUUGAAAAAGUUAGGUACUUAUUCAAAAUAAUUAAUGUUAAGAUUAAAAACUGUUUUUUAAAUUUUUCAGGCGAUUAGUUACUAUGUUUUAUUUGAAUCCAAA